GGCCCUGCAUAGCUUCUCCAAACGCUCCAGUUUUAUCUGAAAGCCCUUGUAUUCUUUAUCUCUUACUGUUUUCUCUUCAGCCAUUUGCAGAAGAGCCUUGUUGUUGUUUUCCCAUUUUGUACGCCACACUAUAGUUUCUUUUUCCAGUUUCUUGAUCUUCUUAGUCAUCUUCUCCAUUUCUUGCCUGAAGGUUGUAAACAGUUCAUUACUUUUUGCCAUGGUAGUCUGGAAUUCCUCAAAUUUAUCCAUGUAAAGAGAAAGCUGCUGCUUCAGCUGUGCUUCCUGUUGCUUCAUCUGUUCACAUUUGUGUCUGGACUCAGUAGCUU
rnacentral:lncRNA from 1 species